rnacentral:rRNA from 1 species
AGUGAACGCUGGCGGUAGGCCUAACACAUGCAAGUCGAACGGCAGCACAGGAGAGCUUGCUCUCUGGGUGGCGAGUGGCGGACGGGUGAGGAAUACAUCGGAAUCUACUCUGUCGUGGGGGAUAACGUAGGGAAACUUACGCUAAUACCGCAUACGACCUACGGGUGAAAGCAGGGGAUCUUCGGACCUUGCGCGACUGAAUGAGCCGAUGUCGGAUUAGCUAGUUGGCGGGGUAAAGGCCCACCAAGGCGACGAUCCGUAGCUGGUCUGAGGGGAUGAUAAGCCACACUGGAACUGAGACACGGUCCAGACUCCUACGGGAGGCAGCAGUGGGGAAUAUUGGACAAUGGGCGCAAGCCUGAUCCAGCCAUACCGCGUGGGUGAAGAAGGCCUUCGGGUUGUAAAGCCCUUUUGUUGGGAAAGAAAUCCAGCUGGCUAAUACCCGGUUGGGAUGACGGUACCCAAAGAAUAAGCACCGGCUAACUUCGUGCCAGCCGCCGCCGUAA